UGUGUUAACUCGGAUAAAAUGUAAACUAAGAGGCGUUUUAGGUAAAGUUCAGAAAUAUCAGGGGCUUAAUCUCACAUUUUGAAAUUCUUCAUACAUACGGGAAAUGCCUCCUGCCGCCGCCACCACACGAGCAGCUAUGCCCCUUCCGCCGCCGGCGAUCUCCGCCGGAGUCGCCGCUGCUUCCGGCGGCUAUUCAAUCGCUUCCGUUAUAAGGGCACUCUCCGUCUGUACCACAAUCGAUCAAAUCAAGCAAAUCCACGCGCAUAUUUGGCGGACGAAGCUCGACCACCGAUCAUACUCACUUCUCUUCGACCUUGUCCUCUCUUAUUCUUCUCUCAGCCUCAGCUACGCCAUCUCCGUCUUCUCGUCUAUGCACUCUCCGCCGCCGUCUCACCUUUUCAACCGCCUUCUCCGGCAGCUCUCCCGUUCCGGUGAACCCAGUUCGGCCCUCUUGUUCUACCGGAGAAUCAGAGACGCGGGUGGUCUUCUCGAUGAAUACAGUUUCCCUCCUCUCCUCAAAGCCGCGGCCAAAGUAUCGACCUUGGUCGAGGGUAUGGAGAUUCACGGCGUCGCGGUUAAGCUCGGGUCUGUGUCGGACCCGUUUGUGGAAACUUGUCUUAUGGGCAUGUACACAUCUUGUGACAGAGUUGCUGACGCUCGCAAGGUGUUCGAUAGAAUGGCGCACAGAGACGUUGUCUCGUGGAAUGCAAUGAUUGAUGGGUACUGCAGACGCGGCAUUUUAGACGAAGCCUUCAAGCUUUUUGAGGAGAUGAAGAAUUCUAAUGUAAUGCCAGAUGAGAUCAUUCUCUGUAAUAUUGUCUCAGCAUGCGGUCGUGUAAAGAAUCUAAACUAUAGCAAGGCGGUUCACAGAUUUAUUAUCGAAAACAAGGUAAAGAUGGACGCGUAUUUGCUGAGUGCUCUUGUUACGAUGUAUGCUGGAACAGGAUGUAUGGAUAUGGCUCAGCAGUUGUUUGCAAAGAUGCCUGAGAGGAACUUGAUUGUUUCAACCGCCAUGGUUUCCGGGUUUUCUAGAGCUGGAAGAAUUGAUGAUGCUCGGGCUAUAUUCUGCCAAAUGGAAGAGAAAGACUUGGUGUGUUGGAGUGCCAUGAUUUCAGGUUAUGCUGAAAACGAUCGGCCUGAAGAAGCGCUCAGAAUUUUCGAGGAGAUGCUGGCCUUGGGAAUAAAUCCCGAUCAGAUUACCAUGUUGAGUGUUAUAUCAGCAUGUGCCAAUCUCGGUACUAUGGAUAAGGCUAAUUCAGUUCACUCGUGCAUAGAUCAUUACGAGCUCGGAUCAGAAUUGCCAAUAAACAAUGCCCUUAUUGAUAUGUACGCAAAAUGUGGGAGUUUGGAGAGAGCAAGAGAUGUUUUUGAGAAGAUGCCAAGAAGAAAUGUGACAUCAUGGACCAGCAUGAUCAAUGCCUUUGCAAUGCAUGGAGAAUCCACUGAUGCACUUAGCUUGUUCGCCCGAUUGAAAGAGGAAAAAAUCGAGCCUAACGGUGUUACUUUCCUUGCUGUACUCUAUGCUUGUAACCACGCUGGAUUUGUUGAGGAGGGCAAGAUGAUUUUUGCGUCAAUGGUGGAUGAAUACGACAUCGCCCCUAAACACGAGCACUAUGGCUGCAUGGUGGAUCUCUUAGGCCGUGCUAAUCGGCUAAGAGAAGCUCUAGAUCUCAUUGAAUCAAUGCCUAUGGCUUCUAAUGUCAUCAUCUGGGGAUCGCUGAUGUCUGCUUGCAGGAUUCACGAUGAGUUUGAAUUAGGAGAACUCGCAGCCAAACGUGUUCUUGAUUUGGAACCUCGCCAUGGUGGGGCUCUCGUGAUAUUAUCCAAUAUCUAUGCCAGAGAACAGAGGUGGGACGACGCCAGGAACAUCAGACAAUUAAUGGAAGAAAAGGGUGUCGUCAAGGAUAAGGGUAUUAGCCAGAUAGACCCGAAUGGCAAGACACGCGAGAAACACGAGCAGUCAGACAAGAUCUACUCGAAGCUCGACUCAAUGAGAGUUUACAAGUGGAAGUGAGUUGCAAUCUUUGCAGUUUGAGGACUUGGCAAAAUAGAACAGAAAAAGAAACGGUUGAUUCAUAAUCUUGGGAAUUGUAAAGAAGAAUCAGGGAGAAACACAAAAUCAUCAUCAUCACCAUCGCCAUCAUCC